UGACCAGAUAUUAUUGCAUCCAAAGAUCAACUGAACCUAGAACAUAGAUACAGAGACACUUGUCAUCAGGAAGGUGAUCUCUCAGCACAACGGAAAAUAUCCCAAUGACUUGACAUGUUCUGGUUGUGAAUUCAGGCUACAAGGGGUCAGUUCUCUAAAAUGAGUCUCUCAGGAGCGAGAAAGAAGGGGGGCCCUGUCUCUAAAAUGAGUCUCUCUGGGGAACAUGACACCAAAGUUAAGAGUCCAAUCAAGCAGGAGAGACCAGCCUCUCCUGUACCCAGCUGUGUGUCCAUGAAGAGUGACCAGUCUAUGAAUAAACCUAUAGAGUUUAGAGAGGGAGACUUUUCUACUGAACAAAGGUACAAUGUAUCACGUCUGGUGAACAGGUUCCACAUCCUCAGUCAGACCAGUACAAACAGGAUCAGCAGCACAACAAGGUAUCAGGUCUGGCGGAGCAUUUAUCAAUACUGAUAGGACGGGAAGAAAGGGAACGCUGCUCUCAGAUCAGUUUUCUCCAUUCAAAUCUUUGCUUAACAUUAUAAUUAUGUCACAAUACUGACCACAGAUCAGCUUCUAUUA